AGAGUUUGAUCCUGGCUCAGAACAAACGCUGGCGGCGUGCAUAACACAUGCAAGUCUAACGGGAAUGUCGGCUUCGGCUGACUAGUACCGUGGCGAACGGGUGAGUAACACGUGGGUAAUCUAACCUCGAGUUUGGGAUAACCUUGCGAAAGCGGGGCUAAUACCGAAUAAGACCACGCCCUGCCCGCAGGGUGCGGUAAAAGGUGGCCUCUUCUUGAAAGCUAUCACUUGAGGAUGAGCCCGCGGCCUAUUAGCUAGUUGGUGGGGUAAUGGCCUACCAAGGCGACGAUGGGUAGCCGGCCUGAGAGGGUGUACGGCCACACUGGCACUGAGAUACGGGCCAGACUCCUACGGGAGGCAGCAGUGGGGAAUUUUGCGCAAUGGGGGAAAGCCUGACGGAGCAACGCCGCGUGAGGGAGGAAGGCCUUAGGGUUGUAAACCUCUUUUCUCUGGGAAGAAGAACUGACGGUACCAGAGGAAUAAGCCU
rnacentral:rRNA from 1 species